UAGAGUCUUUCUUUCUAGUUUAGGCUGGCCUUGAACUUGCACAGAUCCUCCUGCCUCAGCCUCCCAGAGUGGUGAGUUGACAAGCUUGUGACAUCACGCUGGGCUCUUCCUUCCAUUCUCACCUGUCCCCAGCCCUGCAACGCUGAUCCAAGGACGAGGACAGGCAGA